rnacentral:rRNA from 1 species
GUCUAUGGCCAUGCUACCCUGAACAAGCCCAAUCCCAUCAGAUUUCAGAAGCUAAGCAGGGUUGGGCCUGGUUAGUACUUGGAUGGGAGACCACCUAGGAAGACCAGGUGCUGUAGGUG